UACGAAGGGUGCAAGCGUUGUUCGGAAUUAUUGGGCGUAAAGCGCACGUAGGCGCCUUGUAAGUCUCACUGUGAAAGUCCGGGGCUCAACCCUCGAAAUGCCCGGGUGGAACUACUGUCGGGCUAGAGUGGCGGAAGAGGCGAGUGGAAUUCCUGGUGUAGCGGUGGAAAUGCGUAGAUAAUCUGGAGGAACACCGGUGGCGAAGGCGGCG
rnacentral:rRNA from 1 species